CCGUACACAGGCGGAGGGCCCGGCGCUGCCCGGCCGGGGCAUGGAGCAAACCUGAGGGCCGCCCUGGGCAGGGGGUGCUGGGAAGGUGGAAUCCGCGGGGUUCUGCCGAGAGGAACGGCUCGUGUGUUAUGCCAUCAGAUCCAACUAGGAAAAGACGCAAAACCCUUUCUCACCAUGUGGGCUCUGAAGAAGCAGUGAGGGCCGCGUGGGACUGAGGACACUGGAGUCCCAUCAGCACAGGAACAGGAGAAAGGCACAGCAAGGUCACCUUCCAGCUCUGAGCUGGUGCAGAAGAUGGAGGAGCGGUGCAGAAGGCAGGUGGGACUGGAGACCCUGCAGGUACUGGCAAGUAUCAGCGCUCUGGCCCCGCUGUCUACAGCCUUAUCCAUUUGGCGCCUGCUCCAGCCCUCUCACAUUACCAGCAGUGGGGUCUGUUUUCAGCUGUGAAAAGCUGUGAGCACAACUCCCUCCUCCCAUCCUCCCACUGCAGCCUCUCUCCCCAUUUUUUCCUUUUCUCUCUCUCCCCCUUCUGUUCUCAUAGCUCCCUUCGAGGGCCAGGAAGCAAGAAGAAGAAACCCAACAAAACAUGAUAACCUCCUAGAUGAUGACACUAGGGGUUCACAGCCUCUUCCCCAUUCUGGUGGCUCUGACAACUUUUGCUGAACAGCCCAGGUGUAACGGUUCUGAUGGGGGCCUUUGACUUGAACUUCAGAUCCAAAACACACAAGAGUUCUUAUUCUCUUUCCUAAAACCUGUUUUUUUGUUUUUUUUUUCCUGCUAUUGUAUUUGGUAAUUUUGUG
ensembl:lncRNA